rnacentral:rRNA from 1 species
CCUACGGGUGGCAGCAGUGGGGAAUAUUGGACAAUGGGGGCAACCCUGAUCCAGCCAUGCCGCGUGUGUGAAGAAGGCCCUCGGGUUGUAAAGCACUUUCAGUGAGGAAGAACGCCUGGUGGUUAAUACCCAUCAGGAAAGACAUCACUCACAGAAGAAGCACCGGCUAACUCCGUGCCAGCAGCCGCGGUAAUACGGAGGGUGCGAGCGUUAAUCGGAAUUACUGGGCGUAAAGCGCGCGUAGGUGGCUUGAUAAGCCGGUUGUGAAAGCCCCGGGCUCAACCUGGGAACGGCAUCCGGAACUGUCAAGCUAGAGUGCAGGAGAGGAAGGUAGAAUUCCCGGUGUAGCGGUGAAAUGCGUAGAGAUCGGGAGGAAUACCAGUGGCGAAGGCGGCCUUCUGGACUGACACUGACACUGAGGUGCGAAAGCGUGGGUAGCAAACAGGAUAAGAUACCCGGGUAGUC